CUAUCUUGUGACUCAUGCAUGGCACGUCUAUAAGUCAAGCUGGAAUCCUCUAAAAUAAGUCACAUGGGAAAAAAUUCUGAUCUUAUUCUAGACGAAGAAUGAAAAGCCAGGAAGCUACAUAACCCAAGGUGCCUUUCUAGGAUUUUAGCACAUGGAAGAAAUGUCCCUACCCAUGCAUACAGAAACGCAUAAGAACAGGAAGUGACGUAUUGUUUAUCAGGAAAAACAGUAUUCAUGUAUUAUUUACAAAAAUUGAGGCUGAUCUCCAAGCUCUACUGUGGAAAGAGUUCAUCAAGUUCCUAGACUGAAGAAAGCUAAUUAAAAAGUCAUUAAAAUGACAAAAAUCUAGGACACCUGUGCAUUUUGAAAUAUCUCAUUUUGUAUCAAAUACUUUGGCAGUUCUGGAUUGAUAACCAAGUUUAUAUUUCAGCAAACAGGGGACCUCAAGAGCAUAACUUAAUCUCAGAGUUGUUCACCUCCGUGCAA
rnacentral:lncRNA from 10 species